CCUACGGGAGGCAGCAGUGAGGAAUAUUGGGCAAUGGACGCAAGCCUGACCCAGCAACGCCGCGUGAAGGAAGAAGGCUUUCUGGUUUUAAACUUCUUUUCUCAUGGACGUAGAACGUGACGGUACCUGAGGAUUAUGCCUCGGCUAACUACGUGCCAGCAGCCCCGGUAAUACGUAGGUGGCAAGCGUUAUCCGGAUUUAUUGGGUGUAAAGGGCGUGUAGGCGGGAGGGUAAGUCAGAUGUGAAACCUCAGGGCUCAACCGUGAGCCUGCAGUUGAAACUGUGUGUCUUGAGUGCUGGAGAGGCGAGCGGAAUUCGGGGUGUAGCGGUGAAAUGCGUAGAUAUACGGAGGAACACCAGUGGCGAAGGCAGAUUGCUGGACAGUAACUGACGCUGAGGCGCGAAAGCGUGGGGAGCAAACAGGAUUAGAUACCCUGGUAGUC
rnacentral:rRNA from 1 species